rnacentral:piRNA from 1 species
UAGAAUGCCCUCUCCACACACCCAUACCCC